rnacentral:lncRNA from 1 species
CUUGACAAACUUGGAUUUCCAAAGUCAGAGCUGGAGGGUCGAUUGGAAACAAUUUCUUUAACUUUUCGAGUAGGGUAAGGCUUGUCUAAAUAUUACUAUCCUCAGACUCCAGACUCCACUUUGUGGGACUAUACUGGUAGUGGUUGUUGUUGUAGAGCUGGAAAAUAGAGUAUCUUAUUUUUUUCACUGUUCUCUUUAACUGUGCAAUUUACCAUUGUGGACCCCGAAGUAUUCACCUCAAAUUUAACGUAACUCAAGCAGAAAAAGGAGACACUACAUUAGUAGUCAGCACAAAACCCCAUAUGUGACGUAGAAAAGCAGACAAUAAGCCCAAACCCCGAGAGGAGAAUCGCUUUUCUCAGUCAAUUUUAACCCACUGAACUUUUCCCUUAUUCGCUCUCCACUCACUCAUUCACUCAAUUUCCGAAUUUGCUUUUACAAUCUCGCCGGAUUAUCAUAAAACUCGGCCGGACUUGUCCUGCCUCUGGACGCUACAGUUGAUAUGUAGCUAAUUCAAUUAUUCAACUAUCCAACCAACUGGUUCCUAAUUGGGAAAAAAUUGCUAGAGGAGACAACAUUUCUGUCAGAUUCAGCGUAUAUUUCUGGACUCAUUACGACUUUGGUUUCUCAAUUUGGUAAAUUAACUCCUUUUUGUCAUCCUCCGCUUAGGUGUUUAUUAGUAUUUCUGCUUGUAGCUCUUCUUUUUGGGGAUUCUUUUAUGAACCUGCAGCAUUUUUUCUGUUUUUAUGCCUAGAUAAUUCCUGCUCAGUAAGUUCAACUAAACUGCGUUUUGCUAUGGUUAUUGCAUAAGAAAAUUAACUAAUUAGCCAAUACAUGAAUUUCAAUCCUCCUUACAUUGAUCAUCGGAAAAUAAGUAGUAUUAAUAACGCCUUUAAAUUCUUCUCCUCCUUUAUCUCUGUGCCUAUGCUACUAACUUUGAAUUGCUCAAGUUUAUUAGUGGUUAUGGAUAAUCGAGUACUAAUCGCGUUUUUAAGUCAAUAAUUCAACAUAUGUAGCUAAGUUGCAUUAUGAGAGUUGUUUUCUUAAGAUUUUCAUUUGCUUUAUAUGUCUUUUUCCUGGAAGGAGAAACUUUUCCACAUAAGUUACGCAUGAUAGAAAUUGACUUUUUAAUGCAACUCCAUUCC